UGAGGAGGUGAGAGAGAGGUGGGUCAUCAUGUUGCUGCUUUGAGUCCACACAUCAGCCCUUGUCACCACUUAAUGGACCUUCUGCACAGUAGAGUAGGACCACGCCAGAGUUCUCGUAUCAAUGAAGAUGCCCCCGCACCUCCCCGUCCAUCUUCACAGUAUUCCCCGUCGCUGCCUCCACCAAGACUCAUGCCACUGCAGGAGACAGCCGUCGCCGUGUCUCCGGGCUGAUGUUUCCUACAGCCAGUUGGCAGCGCUGCCAGGCUCACGUCCUCCGGCGAGCACAGGGAUGGAGGAGUGAGAUCGGUCCAGACGCAGGUAGCUAAAUCCAGACUGCAGCCUGCGCACGGGCCCAAAAAGCCUCCAGAAUAGCAAAGGAGGAGAGGAUCAUCUCACAUUUCACCCCCAGAUUCCACUCGUGUCCUCCACAGCAGAAGACAUUACAUCAACGCUCCCACAACCUGAGCAGCAGCAGCAUGACUUGAAGCUGACAACUGCGCCGAGCCGCGCACAAAGAGCAGGUUGAUGUUCUGGUGCCUUGCUCGUGAGCCUCUUGACAGCGAUUCCCCAGGAAAGGCUGAAAGUCACGGGGUCAUUCCAUUGAUUCAGGGUUCAGACGGACAACCUUUUGAUCCAUUGCCUCUAAAGCUGCUUCACUACGAACCGUAUAAAGACGCUCUCACCAAACUCCCCUUAGACAUAAAAGCAGCAAAUGCUCCUGCUCUUUUUCUGAGGUGCGAUUACACUUUGAUUUGACGUCAGGUACUGUAGAACUGAACCGAGGGAGGCAAGAGGCCACUGUCAACAGACAGAGCAGUUAGCUCUCAUUCUGUGUGCAAACCAAAUUGUCCAAGAGUUAGAAAUGGCCUUUAUCAGCUCGCCCCGACCUUCACAUCUCACAUCUCAACUGACAGACCGGGCGCUGCAUUGCACUCAGCCAAUUUCGCAAACAGCUCAAGCCACGGGCUUUCACCAA